rnacentral:lncRNA from 1 species
CCUUCCAUGGAAAGACCUGGAGAGAUUGGCUCACUGCUGAGGAGGCUGCUGCUCUUCCCUUAGCUGGAGUGAAGACUGGGACAUGCGUGGCUACAUAAAGAUGGCCAAAGACCAGAAUAACAACUGCAGAAUCGCCAUGCUGGCCAGCCUUCCUAUUGUGUGAGCUGAUGGAUGGUGAAGAGGAAGGACUUGACUGGGGAUGGCACAUACAUGGGAGGAAUUCAUCUGAAAUCUACCAGCCCCUGCCAUGUGGGAUGCACACUGGAAUCACUGAAGAUUCAAGUGUGAUUUGAAUUCUGUGACGCUUUCGUAAUGGUAAAUGUUACCACUAUUUUGAUUACUGCUAUAACCAGCUUUGCAUUAUUGAUUCACUGAAUGACUUUAGAUUUCUUUUUUGCUUUAAAAGGAUGGAAAAAAUUUUACCUGUUUAAAUAAAACUUAAUUUCACUUGG